AUGACUUCAUCCGUUAAGAUGUUUUUUUCGCCCAGCUCUGAGGUCCGUGCAUCAAGUGGUGCUAUCGGGAUCCAUAUAUCCCGAUCGACACAAGCAGCGUUCCAUACACAAGUGUGAUUGAUUGAAGAGUGGGCACAUCGGGCGAUUUGGAUCUAGAUCUAACCUUUGGAAUUUUACGAAAUAGACUCAUUUUGCAGGCAUUAUAUACAGAGACUCAUUAUCGAGGCAUUGGAUCAUUGUUCACUCUGGGCUCACUGUCAAAUUAGUGUUACAUUGUACUUCUGUCAGUUUUCAGGUGUCAGCAUCGUUGGCUUUCCAUAGUUGUGGUUGAUUGGAUCAAUCGUGACUCUUUGUGAGAUGGGGUCCUGGUGUUCUUUGGAUGUUUCCAUGAGAACGGAUCGAUGCAGAGGAUGAAACCGUACACUGUUCCACUUGUUUCAUGAAUUCUUCCGCAGACUGACUGACAAACACUGACUGCAGCUCAGAAACGAAAGACUAUCAAUAGUGAAUGUUGGAUUUUCUUUCAGGUAAGAUGCAUUUACUUUAGUUUUCUUCAUUUAGACAAUGGUUUAAGCUUUUUUCAGUUUUAGAUUUCUUGUAUAAUUUGUUGUUCAUCUUAUUUUCUUCUAUUACUUUUGAUCACUAUUUUAAAUUUCUUAGACCAAAUUAAAUUCAAUCUAAGUGCUUGGUAUUAUAGAUGACACCACGAUCAGAUCAAGAUUUUCUUAUCAAUAAGAUUGAUUUUCCACGUUAUAAAAUCUAGAGUUUGAAUCUAAUUGUGGCUAUAUAUUGAGUUACUUUGUGAGAUGUCAUUUAAUGGUUAAAAUUCAAACACUGUUAAGUCAUCAUUUGGAACAUUUAACAUAUUACUUAAUAGUAAAUUUCAAUUACUUGUAAAUAU